UACGUAGGGGGCUAGCGUUGUUCGGAUUCAUUGGGCGUAAAGGGUGCGUAGGUGGCGGGGUAAGUCAGGUGUGAAAUUUCGGAGCUUAACUCCGAAACUGCAUUUGAUACUGCCUUGCUUGAGGACUGGAGAGGAGACUGGAAUUCACGGUGUAGCAGUGAAAUGCGUAGAGAUCGUGAGGAAGACCAGUGGCGAAGGCGGGUCUCUGGACAGUUCCUGACACUGAGGCACGAAGGCCAGGGGAGCAAACGGG
rnacentral:rRNA from 1 species